UACGUAGGUGGCAAGCGUUAUCCGGAAUUAUUGGGCGUAAAGAGCGCGCAGGUGGUUGAUUAAGUCUGAUGUGAAAGCCCACGGCUUAACCGUGGAGGGUCAUUGGAAACUGGUCGACUUGAGUGCAGAAGAGGGAAGUGGAAUUCCAUGUGUAGCGGUGAAAUGCGUAGAGAUAUGGAGGAACACCAGUGGCGAAGGCGGCUUCCUGGUCUGUAACUGACACUGAGGCGCGAAAGCGUGGGGAGCAAAC
rnacentral:rRNA from 1 species